GCCAGGCACAGUGGUGCGUGCCUGAAGUCCCAGCUACUCGGGAGGCUGAGGUGGGAGGAUCGCUUGAGCCCAGGAGUUCUGGGCUGUAGUGCUCUAUGCCGAUCGGGUGUCCACACUAAGUUCGGCAUCAAUAUGGUGACCUCCCAGGAGUGGGGACCACCAGGUUGCCUAAGGAGGGGUGAACCGGCCCAGGUUGGAAACGGAACAGGUCAAAACUCCCGUGCUCAUCAGUAGUGGGAUCACGCCUGUGAAUACCCACUGCCCUCCAGCCUGGGCAACAUAGCGAGACCCUGUUUCUU
rnacentral:SRP_RNA from 13 species